rnacentral:lncRNA from 1 species
UAGGGAAAAUAUUAGAUUAAACCAGAAACUACACGUGUCACCAUCUAAUUAUUUCAUCAAUUUUUUUUAACGGCCAACAUGGUCAAUGACAAAAACCGUUAAUGGAGGGGCUUAAUUGAUUAUUUUAAUUGGAUGCGAAUUUAUUAUGGGGCUUAAUUGAAUUUUUUUUUUUUACAUUUUCUUAAGGUUUUUUUUCACAUAUAAUCCUAAAUUUUAUAUUUUUAUUAUAAGGUGAAUAUUAGAUUAAAAAUUUUGACAAAUAUUAACAGUAUUGAUGGAGAUUGAAAUUAGUUAUUUUUUAAACAUAA